rnacentral:rRNA from 1 species
UACGGAGGGUGCAAGCGUUAAUCGGAAUUACUGGGCGUAAAGCGCACGCAGGUGGCUGAGUGAGUCGAUUGUGAAAGCCCUGGGCUUAACCUGGGAAUUGUAGUCGAUACUACUCAGCUCGAGUAUGGGAGAGGGCAGUGGAAUUCCCGGUGUAGCGGUGAAAUGCGUAGAUAUGCGGAGGAACACCGAUGGCGAAGGCAAUCCCCUGGGCCUGCACUGACGCUCAUGCACGAAAGCGUGGGGAGCAAACAGG